rnacentral:rRNA from 1 species
GAAUCACUGGGCUUAAAGGGUGCGUAGGCGGCCUGGUAAGUUGAGUGUGAAAUCCCCCGGCUCAACCGAGGAAUUGCGCUCAAAACUAUCCGGCUUGAGGAAGGCAGAGGUAAGCGGAACUAAUGGUGGAGCGGUGGAAUGCGUUGAUAUCAUUAGGAACACCUGAGGCGAAAGCGGCUUACUGGGCCUUUCCUGACGCUGAGGCACGAAAGUUAGGGGAGCCAACGGGAUUAGAUACCCCGGUAGUCCUAUCUGUAAACGAUGAGCACUGGAUUGAGGGGACCUCCACAUCCUCUCGGUCGUAGCGAAAGUGUUAAGUGCUCCGCCUGGGGAGUAUGGUUGCAAGGCUGAAACUCAAAGGAAUUGACGGGGGCUCACACAAGCGGUGGAGGAUGUGGCUUAAUUCGAGGCUACGCGAAGAACCUUAUCCUGGUCUUGACAUGCUUGAGAAUCCUCUUGAAAGAGAGGAGUGCCCUUCGGGGAGCUCUUGCACAGGUGCUGCAUGGCUGUCGUCAGUUCGUGUCGUGAGAUGUCGGGUUAAGUCCCUGAACGAGCGAAACCCUUAUCCCUAGUUGCCAGCGGGUCAUGCCGGGGACUCUAGGGAGACUGCCGGUGUUAAACCGGAGGAAGGUGGGGAUGACGUCAAGUCCUCAUGGCCUUUAUGAUCAGGGCUGCACACGUCCUACAAUGGAUCGUACAACGGGAAGCGAUCUCGCGAGAGCAAGCAAAUCCCAAAAAGCGGUCCUCAGUUCAGAUUGCAGGCUGAAACUCGCCUGCAUGAAGUGGAAUCGCUAG